UACGAAGGGGGCUAGCGUUGCUCGGAAUCACUGGGCGUAAAGCGCACGUAGGCGGCUUUCUAAGUCAGGGGUGAAAUCCUGGAGCUCAACUCCAGAACUGCCUUUGAUACUGAAGAUCUUGAGUUCGGGAGAGGUGAGUGGAACUGCGAGUGUAGAGGUGAAAUUCGUAGAUAUUCGCAAGAACACCAGUGGCGAAGGCGGCUCACUGGCCCGAUACUGACGCUGAGGCACGAAAGCGUGGGGAGCGAACAGG
rnacentral:rRNA from 1 species